UAUAGUGAACUUUUCGUCACUUUCGACAGUCGACGUUAAUUCUUGAAACAUAUAUAGUCAUUUUUCUUCAAGCUUUGAAAUAUUAUAAAAUAUUAAAGUCUAUACCAAUCUCAGUAUGAAUAAAAAGACGACGCAGAUAACAUUAUACAUCCUCAACUGAACGACUACGUAACCCGGAGUUAACUCAGGGCUUCGUCGCCUCCGCUCUUGUCAACAAACGUUCUCGGGAAGCCACCGCUGAGGACCCUCUAUUUAUAAUUUGCCAAAGAUGAAACCCAGUAUGGUUGCAGAUGAGAUGUUCCCAGAGGGCGCAGGACCUUACAUGGACCUUGAUGAAGCUGGGGGCUCUGGGGGCUUGCUGAUGGACCUGACAGCCAAUGAGAAAGCUGUCCAUGCCGACUUCCACAAUGACUUUGAUGACUUGUUUGAUGAUGAAGAUCUGAGCUAAUCUGAUUCUUUAUGAUUGAAAUAUAAACAUGUGUAAAAGAAAAGAAAAAGAAUAUCUUCCCCAAAAAAGGAAAUUUAUCACUGUUAUAUUUUUUUUCCAAACUGAACCCUACCCAAUACUUUAAGCAGUGUCUUUCCUUCGUAAUACAAAGUUUUCCAUAAACAUUAAAUAAAUGUGAUUUAUUUGUA
rnacentral:lncRNA from 1 species